UAAUAUCCUUGCCCAUUUGUUGCAGCAAGUCAUGAAUAUGUAACUUGUUAUUUGCAAUAGAAAUAAGGGACAUAUCAGCUAGACGACUGAUUCCAAUUAUUGAGCCAGGGGUACCCAGUAUAUUUUCAACACGAACUUUAUCUUCCCCUUCGAAGAAGCACACUAUGUCAAGAAAAAUUUCCUUGUCAUAUGCAGAUAGAGCAUCAUAACUUAGUCUCAAUAUUCUCUGAACUUUUUCAUCAGAUGUACCUUCCAAUUUUUCUAAUUCAUCUGCCCA
rnacentral:misc_RNA from 1 species